GUGGGGAAUAUUGGACAAUGGGGGGAACCCUGAUCCAGCCAUGCCGCGUGUGUGAAGAAGGCCUUUUGGUUGUAAAGCACUUUAAGCGAGGAGGAGGCUACCGAGAUUAAUACUCUUGGAUAGUGGACGUUACUCGCAGAAUAAGCACCGGCUAACUCUGUGCCAGCAGCCGCGGUAAUACAGAGGGUGCAAGCGUUAAGCGGAUUUACUGGGCGUAAAGCGCGCGUAGGUGGCCAAUUAAGUCAAAUGUGAAAUCCCCGAGCUUAACUUGGGAAUUGCAAUCGAUACUGGUUGGCUAGAGUAUGGGAGAGGAUGGUAGAAUUCCAGGUGUAGCGGUGAAAUGCGUAGAGAUCUGGAGGAAUACCGAUGGCGAAGGCAGCCAUCUGGCCUAAUACUGACACUGAGGUGCGAAAGCAUGGGGAGCAAACAGGAUUAGAUACCCUAGUAGUCC
rnacentral:rRNA from 1 species